UACUAGAGUAGCACUCGCAUAUCAAUAAGCGGAGGAAAAGAAACUAACAAGGAUUCCCCUAGUAACGGCGAGUGAAGCGGGAAGAGCUCAAAUUUGAAAUCUUAAAGGGUUUCCCUUUACGAAUUGUAGUUUAAAGAAGUGUUUUCUGUUGAGGUUUUGGUAAAAGUUCUUUGGAAUAGGACAUCAUAGAGGGUGAGAAUCCCGUAUUUGACCUUUACUUUCAACUUUGUGAUACACUUUCAAAGAGUCGGAUUGUUUGGGAAUGCAGUCCAAAAUGGGUGGUAAAUUUCAUCUAAAGCUAAAUAUUGGCGAGAGACCGAUAGCGAACAAGUACCGUGAGGGAAAGAUGAAAAGAACUUUGAAAAGAGAGUUAAACAGUACGUGAAAUUGUCAAAAGGGAAGCGUUUGACACCAGUGUUGUUUUUCUGAAAAUCAAUUAAAGAACUGUUUAUGCUAAGUUGUUUAGACUUUAUCAGCUAUCUGCUUCAGUUUUGAGCUUUUCUUUAAUGCACUUUUCAGUUAACAAGUCAACAUCAAUUUCUUUUGCUGUAAAAAAGCUUGAGGAAGGUGGCUUGAGAUUCGUCUUAAGUGUUUAUAGCCUCUUGCCUAUGCAGUCGGAGAGAUUGAGGUCUGCAGCGUAGAUCCUUCGGGGCUAAAUGCAUUUGUGCUAAGUUAUAGCAUUUUAUAGACAACUUGUUGACUAUGAUUUGUCUUGUAGCUUACUCGCUUAUGUUAUUUUACCUACGCUUAGGAUGUUGAACUACUGAGACAUAGA
rnacentral:rRNA from 1 species